ACUCCUACGGGAGGCAGCAGUGGGGAAUAUUGGACAAUGGGCGAAAGCCUGAUCCAGACAUGCCGCGUGUGUGAAGAAGGUCUUCGGAUUGUAAAGCACUUUAAGUUGGGAGGAAGGGCAGUAAGUUAAUACCUUGCUGUUUUGACGUUACCAACAGAAUAAGCACCGGCUAACUUCGUGCCAGCAGCCGCGGUAAUACGAAGGGUGCAAGCGUUAAUCGGAAUUACUGGGCGUAAAGCGCGCGUAGGUGGUUCAGCAAGUUGGAUGUGAAAUCCCCGGGGCUCAACCUGGGAACUGCAUCCAAAACUACUGAGCUAGAGUACGGUAGAGGGUGGUGGAAUUUCCUGUGUAGCGGUGAAAUGCGUAGAUAUAGGAAGGAACACCAGUGGCGAAGGCGACCACCUGGACUGAUACUGACACUGAGGUGCGAAAGCGU
rnacentral:rRNA from 1 species